CAGGACACAGGCAAAAGUACAAGCGAAGACCGACACAGGGCACCAUUCAUUCUGCGUAUAUAAACACAAGUUGAGCUGGAAGAAGUCUUCAUGGCAGUCUGGGCUGGAUGGGGAAGAAAACUGAAAGUGAGAUUCCAAUCUGGGGGGAUAUCACUGGAUACUCUACUGUACUGCAUACUACAUGCACUAAGAGGAGCCAGAUGGAGCAACAACAGGAAGAAAUUACAGCAGGUACUGAUCUCUCCUUUACCGUGCCACUGAAAGGGCGCAGAGUGGUAGAAGCUACUUGUACAUAUAAACAGUAUUCUAUAUUGUAAGUUAUGCUUAUACACAGUACGUUACAUAAUAAAUCAGAAGAGAGCAUUUGCCUUGUGAAGGUGCCAGUAUAUUUGGUUCUGCUUUAGAUAAAGGUCAUUACUACCACAUAAGCUUAAAGUCUAUAUAUCUUACUUGUAUAAACUUUUUUUCUAGCAUCUUUUUGUCUUCUCUAGUUUGGCUCGUGUCAGUACUACAGCUUCAGUUCUCAAUAAAAUGCUGGACCAAACUCUCUUUAGACCAAAAAUAACUUACCGUAUUUUUCGCCCUAUAAGACGCACCUAGGUUUUUGAGGAGGAAAAUAAGAAAAAAAAAUUUUUAACCAAAAGGUGUGCUUUUG